AACGAACGCUGGCGGCAUGCCUAACACAUGCAAGUCGAACGAAGGCUUCGGCCUUAGUGGCGCACGGGUGCGUAACGCGUGGGAAUCUGCCCUUUGGUUCGGAAUAACAGCUGGAAACGGCUGCUAAUACCGGAUGAUGACGAAAGUCCAAAGAUUUAUCGCCAGAGGAUGAGCCCGCGUUGGAUUAGGUAGUUGGUGGGGUAAAGGCCUGCCAAGCCGACGAUCCAUAGCUGGUCUGAGAGGAUGAUCAGCCACACUGGGACUGAGACACGGCCCAGACUCCUACGGGAGGCAGCAGUGGGGAAUAUUGGACAAUGGGCGCAAGCCUGAUCCAGCAAUGCCGCGUGAGUGAUGAAGGCCCUAGGGUUGUAAAGCUCUUUUACCCGGGAAGAUAAUGACUGUACCGGGAGAAUAAGCCCCGGCUAACUCCGUG
rnacentral:rRNA from 1 species